GAUGAAGAACGUAGCGAAAUGCGAUAAGUAAUGCAAAUUGCAGAAUUCAGUGAAUCAUCGAAUCUUUGAACGCACAUUGCGCCCGCUAGUAUUCUGGCGGGCAUGCCUGUCUGAGCGUCAUUUCAACCCUCGCCCCCGGCUUUUGCUGGGAGCGGUGUUGGGGAUCGGCCGCCCGUCACUGGGAGGCCGGCCCCGAAAUAGAGUGGCGACCACGCCGUGUGCUCCUCUGCGUAGUAGUAAAUCACCUCGCAGGCGGACAGCGGUGCGGCCUGCCGUAAAACCCCCAACUCUUUCUGGUUGACCUCAGAUCAGGUAGGAAUACCCGCUGAACUUAAGCAUAUCAAUAAGCGGAGGA
rnacentral:misc_RNA from 1 species